AUUGAACGCUGGCGGCAGGCCUAACACAUGCAAGUCGAAUGGUAACAGGAAACAGCUUGCUGUUUCGCUGACGAGUGGCGGACGGGUGAGUAAUGUCUGGGAAACUGCCUGAUGGAGGGGGAUAACUACUGGAAACGGUAGCUAAUACCGCAUAACGUCGCAAGACCAAAGAGGGGGACCUUCGGGCCUCUUGCCAUCAGAUGUGCCCAGAUGGGAUUAGCUAGUAGGUGGGGUAACGGCUCACCUAGGCGACGAUCCCUAGCUGGUCUGAGAGGAUGACCAGCCACACUGGAACUGAGACACGGUCCAGACUCCUACGGGAGGCAGCAGUGGGGAAUAUUGCACAAUGGGCGCAAGCCUGAUGCAGCCAUGCCGCGUGUAUGAAGAAGGCCUUCGGGUUGUAAAGUACUUUCAGCGGGGAGGAAGGGAGUAAAGUUAAUACCUUUGCUCAUUGACGUUACCCGCAGAAAAAGCACCGGCUAACUCCGUGCCAGCAGCCGCGGUAAUACGGAGGGUGCAAGCGUUAAUCGGAAUUACUGGGCGUAAAGCGCACGCAGGCGGUUUGUUAAGUCAGAUGUGAAAUCCCCGGGCUCAACCUGGGAACUGCAUCUGAUACUGGCAAGCUUGAGUCUCGUAGAGGGGGGUAGAAUUCCAGGUGUAGCGGUGAAAUGCGUAGAGAUCUGGAGGAAUACCGGUGGCGAAGGC
rnacentral:rRNA from 1 species